UUAUGACGUUUGCAUUAAGUAGUAAUGUGGUUUUUAUACAGUCUAUGGGUAACACGCAGAUAUUGAAAGGUAAAAAUCAGUAAACACAUCAUUGAUUACGUAUAUUUGUACAGGCAAGCAUAUGAACCCAGAAUAUAAACGCAAUGUACAAAGUUUCACGUAAAAUGGUUUCCCAUAGAAAACGAUUAUAAGGAAAACACUGAACCAUUAAGCGGAUUGCGUUCAUAUUCCGACCACAUCUGCUUGUCUAUGUAAGUAUAUAUUUACGUCUAUGGUUUUGUCAUCCGCUAAAAACCUGCUUAGCAACAGGACACACCUCUCCUGGUACUAUGGAUUUGUGAGCCAAUCACGAUUGAGUUUCAGCGUGACGUCGUUUUUGUUGACACUUCUAUUAGCUGGCCACCCGCGAAACGUCACUGCAGAAGCACGCGCGCGUGACCUUCGCCGUCCACCGAGCGUUUUCUGCCUGGAAACACCGCGAGCUAGUCACACAGCUGCUACAUCGCGAGCUUCCUGAGGCUGGAGUCGGAGUUGGGUAAAGUCUUGCUGUGCCUCGGCUCGUUAAUGCACUAUUGAUCUGUUUUUGUCCCUGUCACGGUGACAAACGCUCCCAAGUGCUUGUUGCGUCUAAAUGGGGUCUGAUCAGAGUACCAGUUUGGCUGCUGACCAACAGCAGAAGGAUUCAGGGAAUCUGUCAUUGAAAGGUGAAGUAUCUUCAUCCAAUGCCCAAGCCGAUACUGGUCCUGAGCCCCAGGACAGUCUGGAUCCAGACACUGACUUGCCCCAGUGCCGAAUGGGCAACAGAAAGGUAGACGACAUGAGCUUUAUGAUAUCCUGCACUAACUGGUAUUAAAAACCAAAGAAGCACUGUGAAAGAACUGACUAGACUGGAAGUUUCGUCCACAAUGAGUGCCAAAUUCAGAACAGGACAACGGAAGACAUGUUGGUGCUGUAGUUGCAGUGCAAUGGGUUUGAUGUGAUUUAUGCCUUUUAUAAGUUGUGCAAUGUGUUUGAAGACAUAGAGAAUAAAGUUAUUGCACUAGCUGUGCACGUACUGAUUGCAUGAUAUCAAAAGCUUGUAGUAUGUAGUUGAUAUCAACCUGUGAUAAUUAAGUAUGUAUGUAUAUAUAUAUGUCAUUAUAUAAUGCAUCAAACAUCACUUGGCAUUUCUGUAAUUUUAUUUUAUUGACAUUUCUUUGAACAUGGUGAUAGUAGAUACACAGUGUAAAACUGUAAACUGAAAACCGAAAUAAAAACGACUCAAUGUUUACAGAAUUAAAAACAGGAUUUAAGAAAUAAAACUUAAAUCAUAUCUAAUAUUAAUAAAUCAAUCCGUUUAAGAUCACUCUCAUUUAUUAAUAAUCAACAUUAUGCAUGACAAUGUGUCAUAGGAAAUCAGAGGCUACUGUUAAGAGUUAAAGCAAAAUACAAAAGGUCCAAAAAGUUUCAGUAAAUCUUUAUAUUUACAUGAUCAUUAAAACCUGAAGAGGCUGAGCAGACAGCAACAUUUGACCAGUAAAUCAGAAAAUAUCAAAAUUCCAAUGACAGAAUCUACAUUUAUUUAAAUCACAGAGUGAAACAUUCACUCUUAAAUUCUUGUCAAAGGGAAAAAAGAACCAGUUAUAUACACAGAUACAGUUGAAAUUACAUCAUGGUCAGCCAAGAAAAUUAAUAAGAAUAAAAAACAAACCAAAUUUUUUUAAAGCUAUCUCAGAUAAAAUCUCCAUUAAAGUUAACCCUCUGUAAU